AUUUGAGGCCACCCAGAGCUACACAAAACUCGAACAUAGAAAAAUACCAUGUGAGGAGAGAGGGCGGAAAAGCACAGAACAUGCAGAGGUGGCAGCAGCCAAUACCCUCACUACAUGCCAGUUCAGAAAACAGACAAGAGAAAGGUAGCCUGGAUUCAUGCGGUGCUGAAGGCUGAGCAGGCCGCAGUGUUCAAGUUCCCACUGGCGCCGCUCGGCUGCUCCGGGCUGGGCUCGGC
rnacentral:lncRNA from 1 species